CAGCGCACGGAAGUUGUCAUAACGAGCUAAAAAGAGGUACAGAGAGGACUGCUAAUGUUAUAGACUGAAAAUAACUCUCUCUGGUCGCUUACAUCCCACCGAAUUGCGUGUGCUUUUCGGGUAAUAAGCUCUAUAAGCAGCAGAACACGUCCCGCGGCUCCAGGACAGAGUUUAAGCAGCGGUAUGGAGUGGUUUGGAGGCGGCGUGUUCCACACUGAACAGGACCGAAAGGAAAACAUGCCCCGCACACACCCACACGAGCCCAGUGCGGAGAGCAUGGCGUCUCUGUGCCAGAGUCAGCAGCGCUGUUUGGAGGCGUCCAUCGCGUCCCAGUGGCAGCUGGCAGAAGCACAGGACCAGCUCUGCGGUCUGGAGCUCCACAGCUCGGAGUCUGUGGAGCAGGAGCGCGCACGAGCCCUGGCCUCCUCCGCUGAGCUCUCACAGACCGAACAGGAGUGGAGACAUAAGGAGAGGAUGCUGGGAAGAAGCCCCACUCUGUGUCCUGAGGCCAGCCGAGAUGUGUUUGACAAGAGUAUCAUAAACAUGUCUCAGUCUUGGCCUAAUGAAUCUGAUCAUGAUAAGAACUUGGGCUUCAACCAGCGCAAUGAAGAACUCUUGAAACAUUUUGGUAUGUUGAGGAGGUGGGAUGAUAGUCAGCGCUUUCUAGCAGAGUACCACCAUCUCAUCUGUGAAGAAACGGCCAAUUACCUGAUCCUGUGGUGCUUUCGUCUGCAGGCAGAGCAAAAAGAGGCCUUAAUGGAGCAGGUGGCUCAUCAGGCUGUCGUCAUUCAGUUUAUUCUGGAAAUGGCGCGCAACACACAGCAAGACCCGCGAGGCUGCUUCCGUCAGUUCUUUCAGAAAGCCAAAGCUGGGCAGGAGGGAUACUUGGAUGUCUUUCACACAGAACUCAAAGCCUUCAAGCAGAGAGUGAAAGAGUGUACCAUGAAAUCAAGAGGAGGAACUCCAAACGAGGCGGUGCACCAAAACACACCGCCAGGCUGUCGCCUCGACCCCAAGGAGGUUUUGGAGUCUUUGCCACCGGAGCUGUAAACAUGCAUCCAGAUGCAAGAUAUGCAGGUUCUUCAGAAUGUGCUGAGCAACAUGAACCCACAGGUGGCAGAAUACCACGUGAAGCGCUGCUUGGAGGCAGGAGUUUGGACGAAUAUACCACGAGCCUCCAAAGAGGAGAGUUCAGAAACAGACGAGUGGAGGAUGAUGGAGACCUAGCAGUGAAGACAAACCUUCAGUAGGAAAACGGCUUUGGGUCGGAGGACGGGAAGAACAAGGGCUGCAGUGCUCAAAGACUUUUCUUUUGUAUCCGUGCCUGAAUGUGUGCUGCACUUUAUAUUUGUUUAAUAGAGAAAGUAUUUUAAAAGAAGACAGGAAACUGUAUUUUGUUACAUUUCUGUUGCUCACUUUUCGUCAAUCUGUUUUAGCAGUUUGAAAAAAAGUUUAGGAAAGAGGUACAAGCAGGAGCGCAAAGGGAAACCUCAAAUAUUUCCGCAUAGUUUGAACCUUUUUUGUCAUAAAUUGGUUUUAAGUCAACAAGAUCAGUGCUAUUUGAGAAGCCUUUUGCUGUUUUCUUUGUGUUUGAACUUUUUGUUUCAUAUCUCCACCUUUGGAUUGUAAUCUAUAAGGUCCACUGCACGUUGAACUCCAGCUGCUAUCUGGGAAGUGUUUCAUGUGUCGUGUGUGCAUGAACGCGGCAGAUAACAGUGGCUUCCUGCAGAUAGAGGAACGACACUGAGGCGGGACAGGAACGCCCACUUUACAGUCGUGCUGGGAGUGAGACCUUGGCAAAAAUUCAUUUGCAGUUCCAACUGUACGGCGUGAAAACCAGCAAUGCAAUGUUGUUGUUACCUACAGUUUUAAUGAAAGAGAUUCACAUUUACUGUUGUCAAAAUGUAAAGUUUGAUUUGAUAUCAAAAGCAAAAAAAAUGGCAAACGUCCAAGCGAUAUUUCGUCUUGAGGUUUUAGAUUCUGUCAUUAUUUUCUCUCCCUCAUGUCGUUCCUAACCUGUAUGAUUUAUUUUCUUCUGUGGAACAUA